rnacentral:rRNA from 1 species
CAGUAGCCGCGGGAAUACGUAGGUGGCAAGCGUUGUCCGGAAUUAUUGGGCGUAAAGCGCGCGCAGGUGGUUUAAUAAGUCCGAUGUGAAAGCCCACGGCUCAACCGUGGAGGGUCAUUGGAAACUGUUAAACUUGAGUGCAGGAGAGAAAAGUGGAAUUCCUAGUGUAGCGGUGAAAUGCGUAGAGAUUAGGAGGAACACCAGUGGCGAAGGCGGCUUUUUGGCCUGUAACUGACACUGAGGCGCGAAAGCGUGGGGAGCAAACAGGAUUAGAUACCCCCGUAGUCCCUGUCUCUUAUAC